rnacentral:snRNA from 1 species
UAGGCAAGGGAAGUCGGCA